UUAGGUGACCUUGGACGCCAUGGAACAGGGACCAUUUAUCAGAAACUUUCCCAGAAGUACAAAAAUGCUGCAAAAAAACCCACACAGAAUUACACAGAGGACAACAAAACUCAAGGGAUAAUGGAAAAAAGCCAGUGGGACCUCAAAAAGAUCCGUUUUCAACGGAGACGUCUGACCAGGCUGGACGAUUUUGUACAUACAUACAAAGUCACCUUGAGCGCCCUGCUAAGGGAAUAUGGCGACUCUCUGAGGAGGGGGAAGAAGACCCAUCGUGCGGACAUGGAGCGAUGGAAAAAAAGAAAGCAGAACAGGUCGAGGAGUUUAUGUGACACCCAUAAACAAGCCUUUUGUUUUCAGACAGCACAAGAAGAAUCUCAUGCAGAAGACAAAAACAGCAAAAGCUCCAGCUCCACUACAAAAACAAGCGCCAGGUGAAACGGAAGCACAUAUUCCAUCACAGGAUCCAAAAGACAAGGCAAGACAAGGUCAAUCUUCAUCCACAUCAGACAUGACGGAGCAUGCUGAGGAUGCCGCACAGGGAGGUAAAGUGGAUGCUUCAUCAGAGCUGACCGCGUUGUGGAAAAAAAAGGACACUGAGGUGGUGGUGUCUGUAGUCCCCACUCAAAUAAGAGGCAACAGUU